GCCAGCGUAGCGUAGUGGUUUGAGCACUGGACUAUGACUCUGAUGAGGAGGGUUCAAAUCCCCGCUCAGCCA